rnacentral:lncRNA from 1 species
CUAUUGUCAUACAUAUAUACAUACAUACUAUUGUCAUAAAUACGUACAUACAUACAUACAUAAGCCUGAGUCUGACCUAUUUAAAUAAAUAGAAUUUAAAAAUGGCCUAAGCCUAGCGUUUUUAUUAAAUUGACCAGGCCAUGCCAUAAGUAGGCGAUGUCAUAGGUCCUUGACGGACGGCCUAGCCUAUUCUCAUCCCUAUUUGCCACAUUAAAACUUUAUUUCAAUAUCAUUUAUUUAUUAUUUAAGGUAUUAAAAAAAUAAAGAAUUAAAUUGUAAGUACGAAUAUAAUAAUAAUAAUACAUACAUACAUACAUACAUACAUACAUACAUACAUACAUACAUACAUACAUACAUACAUACAUACAUACAUACAUACAUACAUUUGUCAUACAUACAUACUAUUCUCAACAGGGAAAUGGAUAGAGUUUGAUGAUGACAAUCCAAGACCUAGAGUACAAAACGAUAUUACUAGACUAUCUGGAGGAGGUGAGAAUGAAUAAAUAUACUACUCAAUGUUGUAUAUGAUGAUGAUAUGCUUAAAAAUGUUGAAUCAUGUUUUUUGUGUUUAGGUGAUUCGCAUAUGGCAUAUAUAAUCAUGUACAAGGCUCGUGAUGUCUGAUCUCUUCUAAUGGGUUACCUUUGAUUAGUUAAAGGAUUCAUUAUAAAAAGAAUGAAUAGAAUAGUCAACAGGUGGGUCAUUGUUUUUAUUUUACACCUUAGAUGAAUGCUGGUUAGUUAGAUACUCUUAUUUGUUUAAUGUAGAAAAAGCAAGAUACGUUAAAUUGCACCAAACUCAAUCAUAGACAUGCUAGAAUUGGUACUUGAAGACAGUACAUAUGAUGAGUUCAUGUAAAAAUGCACUAUAUUCCUAACGUAGAUACAAUAGAUCUACAAGAAUAUAUUGAAUGCAAUACACCUUCAAUGAAACUAACAGCAAGACCAAACUUAGUGAUACCGUGAAUCAACCAUCCUUUGUCAAAUCAAAAAUAGGAACAACUUGGAUGUUUAUUUUGCCAUGGCCGAACCAAAAGCUUGAUCAGCUGUGGUCAUCUACACCCACGCUAUAGCAAGCUAGCACUGCAUUGCUACCUCCCACAAUUCUUCUAAAUUUGUUAUCUUGAUUAAAACCUUACUCUUAGCAAAUUCCAAGAAUACAAUUUUACAAAUUCUACUAUCUCUUCUAUUGAUGAUUCUUUAUUUUAUUUUUUAUCAUGUGCUUUCGAAAAUUAUCCAUAUGCAUNNNNNNNNNNNNNNNUUGGCAACCAUCACUAAAAGUUUUGAAGACGUUCUAUAGUGACAUUUGGAAGUAUUACUCAUUACGUCUAGCCACUCUGCCAUCUCACACCACACUCUAGAGAAGAAUUGACAUUUGAAAAACAAAUAGUUUGCCAUUUUAAUUCUCUCAUUACGCCUCACUCCUUUGUCCUCCGUAGGAAUUUGAAAUUAUUCAAUGUCUUUCUCCCAACACACUUUAUCCCAUUUUACCUAGUAUACUUUUUUCGCUUUCUCAAUCCCUCCCUACAAAAAUUGUUUAAAUAAAGAUUUAGCUUUAAAAUUAGGUCUAAUGGAGUGUUGAAGAAGGACAAAUAGAAGACAAAGAGCCUAGAGAGAACAUAGCGCAACUUGACAAUUUAAUAUCUUAUUGAAAUAUUCUUACUCUUUCAAGACAAUAAUAUAUUUCUCACCUUCAACAAAAUUGUUUCUCAAGUCUUCUUACUUCAGGGAUUUUCCCGUAUAGGUAAACCUAAAUAAAUGAAUGGGAAUUUUCCAACUUAAUAAUUUAACAACUUUGCAAAGUCUAGUAACAAAUCUCCAAUACAUUUACACGCAUCAAACUACUUUUAUGAAAAUUGACCUUCAACUUUGAUAAUUGCUUGCACAUUUUUCCACCUUUUGCACUCCAUACAAUUGUGUGGUAUCAACAAACAGUGAGUGUAAGACAUGUUGAUUAUGAUUUCUAAAUCUAUACCCUACAUUUUUUUUUCUUUCUAAUACCACUACUUUUUCAUCAUGGCAUCUAAACCUUCAGUUGGGACGAGGAAGAGAAAAGGUGACAAAAGUCGCUCAACUCCUUUUCCAUAAUAAAGUGCUUUGUCGGACUUCCAUUGACCAACACAAAAAUUAUUAAUGUGUUCAAACAUUCCUUUAUCCAUUUCCUCAAUUAAUCACAAAAAUCCAUUAGAUUGUUCUCCCUAUCUUGUCUUGAACUUUUCCUCUCAGCCACAACGACCAAUCGCGCUUCUUGGUCUUGAUCCCUUAGACUAUGUCUGCUUCUUAUAUUUUUUAUUUUUCAGGUUCUUACUAUUUUCUUCUUCCUACUAAAUUAAUUUCUCUCUAUAAAUAGAUAAACUAUGUAAUAUGAAAUGAUAAAUCAACUGAUAUCAAACAAACUCUAGCACUCUAAUUAGCAACUCAACUACUACCUAUUACCAAACUAUAACAAACUUUUAUAUGUUAUGUUAAUAAUUGAUAUAUGAUAUGUUGUGAUACUAUUUGUUAAUUGUAAAUUUUAUAGUUAAUUUGUGAACUUUAUGAUAAAACUCUUUUAGCAUAUUAUAUUGUUUUAGUUAAUUUGUAAAUGUCUCUUUUCACAUAUUAUAUUUUUAUUUUGAAUUGAUGUUAUGUUGAAUCUUUGAUAAAACACUUUUACGAAUUUCAAUUGUAAUAUUUUAAUUAAUAUUUGUCGCUCUCCCAAUAUUUUGGACAAGAUCCGCCACUGGUUGUAUGUAACUCCAAUACACAAAAUCACAUGUUUUCUCAAAAUCAACAUUUGCCUAAGGGGAACGGUUAAUGCUUACCAAAGGGGGGUUAAAAAUAGCUGAAUUGGAGGUAAAUGUGUCUACUGUUACUCUACAAAUCUAUCUUUUAUAUUGAUUAUGAAUAAAUGGUGAGAAUGACUCUUAAUCUCUUAAUUCCUAUUUUGAUUUUUAUGCCUACUUGGAAUUCCACCCCAUCCCCUUCAAAUCUGCAUAGUAACCAAAACAAAAAAUGAAAGAAAUAGAGACAAUGAGAAAGUGCAACAAAAAAAAAAAACAUAACCUGCUCAACUUGUGACUCAAUUUAUUUUAUGAGUUUUAAGAGUUCCAUGCCAGUUCUCAUUUAUCUCAGUAUUAUUUGAAUCAUUUUCUAUAUGUCUGUCCAUACUCCAUCAAAUACUCUUCUUAUGUUGGCAUUAAUAAGAGACAAUGCCUCUCACAAUCUUUAAUCUUUCUUCCAUUAUUCUUGGAUGCUGCACUUGAAACUAUAAUAGCGGUAUAAUGUAUUUUGCAUCCUUCUGACUCAUUUUGUAGUUACAUUAUAUUACUAUAUACAUUGUAGUCAGUCUUCAUGCACUUGACAACUAUGUAGAGAUCAGAUGUUAAUACAUAGUCUGGGAAUUAGUUUGAUACUUGCAUUUUUAUUUUGAGUGCUUGAUCUUAUUUAAGUUUAAUUUUAAGUACUUAAUCCCUAAGAUUUAGAGGGUUAAAAAAAAUCUUGAAUAUGUGUGAAGAAGUAUGUUGAAAUUGAGUUUAAUAUGAUAAAAUGAUUUUUCAUCAUCUCAAUUGAAGCAAAGAGCGUCCAAUAUAUAUGAGAUAAAUUUAUUAUUGUCUCCCUUAUCUUUUAUCUUUCACCUUGUCAAAGCAUAUGAAAAAGACUUUUUACCUUUUUUACCCUCUACUAUUUGAUAGUAAACAUUUCUGAAGUUAUUAACAUUUUGAUAAUUUUAAAUUUUCGAUUUUUUUAAAGAGUUCUAGAAAAAUUGCAUUUCGAAAACUGUGUUCAUCCAAAUUCUUGAUUGUUUUUUUCUUAAUUUUUAAAAAAAUUGCAUUUUAGAAGUUUCACAUUUGUUCAAAUUUUUCAAAUUUUUCAAAUUUUAUUAAACUUUUGAAAAAAAAUACAUUUCAGAAGUUUCACAUUCAUUCAAAAUUUUGAAUUUUUUUAAAACUUUUAAAAAAAUUGCAUUUAAAAAGUUUCAUAUGUAUCAAAAGUUUCGAUCUUUUUUUAAACUUUUGAAAAAAUUACAUUUCAAACGUUUCACAUUAUUUCAAAGUUUCAAACUUCUUUUAAACUUUUAGAAAUUUUUUACUAUCAAGUAGUUUAAGGUAAAAUUAUCUUGUCAUGUGUUUUAAAGGAGUGAGUAAAUGUGAGAUGGUGGAUGAUAACUUUCUCUAUAUAUGAGGAAUUAUUAAGUGAGAGGAGUUUUCACAUGAGAUAGUGAAAUAAUUAAAUUUUAAUCAUACAAUCAUACAUAGCUGACUGUGAUAGAAAGUAUCGUAUAGUCACUUAAAAAAGUCACAUGACUUUUUGUUUUAAUUUUAACUAUUCAUGACUUGAUCAAUGACUAAGAUUUAUCCUUUUUACAUUCUCAUUUUAAAACUCAUCCCAUUUGAUAUGUUUCCUAUAUAUAUAUACUUAUAUAUUUUUCUAGGCAACAAACUUUAAAUCGCCAAAAGAUGAUAGACGUUCCUCUGAGUCUAGUUAUUGGCCUGAGGAUCAUGGAACAAUAUCACUAAAAACAAUUUAUAUAUUUUUUUGAACUUCUAAGUUUGAUGUAGUUGUUUUGUAUGUUUAGCCACUUCAAAAUAUUUUGGUUUUAUAAUGUUCAAAUUACUUUAUUUAUUCGUUUAAUUAAGUUCUAGUAUAGAGGUCGUUAGUUUUGAAUAUAUUAUAUGAAUGAGAUUUAGCCAUUUACAAUUAAAUAUUUAUAUAUCUUAAUUAUAUGAAUGAUAUUUUUAAAUAUUAUUCAAAUUAAUUUAAAAUUAAUUGUUAUUUAAUAAGUUAUUAAAAUAAAUUUAAUGAAACUUGAAAAACCAAGUCAGCAAUUGGACAAGAGAUUUUAACGGCAAUAGUGCCUAAUUCUUAGCUUCUAACGGCUGCAUUACAUAUGGAUCAUUAAUCUUUAAGUUUACUUUUUAGAUAUUCAACAAAUACAGUAUUCACUUGUACCUACUUCUAUCUAAUUACUCUAAAAGUCAAUUUCCAAGUAAAACUUACAUCAGCUUCUCCUUCUCUUAAAAUAAGGUCAUGGCAAGAACUAAAGUCAAUUUGUGCAGCCUUAGCCCCUAUAAGCUGUGAAUGUUUUUAAUCAACUUUAUCAUUUUUGGUGGCUUAAGUCCUCACAAAUUUGUGGCGGACUGUGUCACAAAUUUGUGAGGGCUUAAGCUUUCACAAAUGAUAAUAAAAAAACCAACUUUUGUGGUCGUUUUUGCCGCCACAAAAAUUUGUGAAAUUUGUGAUGUGAUGGGGUUAUUUGUGAGUGUCUUAGGCCGCUUCAAAUGUGUCUGUUGUAGUUGUUUUUCUCCCUUUGUGAGGGCUAUUGGCUGCCACAAAAUCUGAGUUUUCUUGUAGUGAUAAACCUAUUGGAAUAAGUUGAUAUUGUUGGGUUUUUGGCUCCCUUCCUAUGUGGAGAAAGGCCCAAUAUGUGCAAGCCCAUGUGUCUCACUUAACCAAGUGAAGAGAGGUCAGAUUAGUGAGAGAGAGAGAGCUGAAAUCAGAGAGUGAGGCAAAGAGAAAAGCGAGAGAGGAAGAGCAAAAUCCAUUUUCGCAUAAAAUAGAGCAGCUGCACUAGAUUCACGAUUUCUCCUUCGUUCACCGUUGGAUCGGGCUGCAAUUUGGACAGCAGGUUCGUGACUCAUGGUACUUCCAUCUAACUGGUUGGAUCGUCGAUCGGAGGUCUGAGGUGGGAGAUAUUGAGCUCGUACAGUAGCAGUAUUUCCUGGUUUUUCUGCUGAACUUUGUUCUCAAUUUCAUGUUUGUUUUCUCAUUGUUUUGGCUGAUUGUUGUGCUGGUUACCUUGCUAUUUUUUGGCUGGUUACUGAGCACGAAUUUGUACCAUAUUUGAAACUCUCAUGUACCCAUAUUGUGUCCUUUGUGGUAGUGAUUUUAGUUGCUGUGAUUAUUUGUUGUUGCUCCUCACAGAUUCUUGCAAGUUUGGGAAAUUGAUUAUCCGCUGCAUAUUGCUCUGUUAGAGUUGUUAUUGUUAUUUGUUGUUGAAUUUCCCAUCAGAGUGGCAUCAGAGCUCUUUGGUUAAGGGGCUGUUUGACUUGUUUGAAUGAUGGAGGCAAAUAAAAAUAGAAUGAUUUGUUUGAAUGACACUAAUUAUCACUUAUGGAAGGGAAAAAUGAAGGAUCUGUUAUUUGUGAAGAAUUUGCAUCUUCCUGUGUUUGCUAGUGAGAAGCCAGAAUCCAAGACUGAUGAGGAUUGGAGUUUUGAACAUCAGCAGGUUUGUGGUUUUAUUCGGCAAUAUGUAGAAGACAAUGUUUAUAAUCACAUUGCUAAUGAGGAACAUGCAAGAUCCUUGUGGAAGAAGAUUGAAUCUUUGUAUGCUUCUAAAUCAGGGAAUAAUAAGUUGUAUUUGUUGAACUCCUUGAUGAAUUUGAGGUACAAGGAGGGGACUUCUAUUUCAGAUCACUUAAAUGAUUUUCAAGGGCUCCUAGAUCAAUUGUCAGGUAUGGGUAUCAAAUUUGAUGAUGAAGUGUUGGGACUAUGGCUACUGAAUACUCUACCAGAUUCUUGGGAAAUGUUUCGGGUUUCAAUUACAAACUCAGCUUCUGAUGGUGUUGUCUCUUUGCAAAGUGUAAAGGGAAGUGUUCUUAAUGAGGAGAUGAGAAGGAAGGCACAAGGUACUUCAUCUCAUUCUGAGGUACUUGUCACUGAGAACAGGGGCCAUAGCCAAAGAAAGGAACCGAAAGGGAACAGACAGAAUAACAGAAGUGCGAGUAGAGAGAACAACAGAAGUAAGUCCAAGUCCAGAUACAAGAAUGUGGAGUGCAAUUAUUGUCACAAAAUGGGGCACAUACAGAGGAACUGUUUCAUAUGGAAAAGGGAGAGCAAAAACAAUAACAGUAAGCAGAGAGAUAAGAAUCAUGAUGAUGAUGACCGUGUUACUACUGCUACUUGUGAUGAUCUGAUUAUUCUCCGUGACUAUGACUCAGUCAAUCUUGUAUCAGAUGAGAGCAUCUGGAUUAUUUAUAGUGGUGCUACAUUGCAUGUUACACCAAAGAAGGAGUUCUUCACAUCUUACACUUCUAGUGACUUUGGAGUGUUGAACAUGGGUAAUGAUGGUGAGUCUAAGGUAGUUGGUAUUGGUGAUGUUUGUUUGCAAACCAACAUGGGAGUACAGUUGUUGCUUAGAGGAGUCAAACAUGCUCCAGAUGUUCGCUUUAAUUUGAUCUCUGUGCAGAUGCUUGAUGAUGGUGGUUAUGAUAAUCACUUUGGUUCAGGAAAAUGGAAACUCACCAGAGGUAACUUAGUUGUGGCCAGAGGGGAGAAAAUUAAUAAACUGUAUUGGACUAAAGCAUUGGUUGCUAAAGACAGUGUGAAUGCCAUGGAUAUGGAGGCUUCUUUGUGGCACCGCAGGCUUAGUCAUAUCAGUGAAAAGGGGCUGAAUUUUUUAGCUAAAAAGGAUUUACUUCCGGGAUUAAAGAGUUCAGAGUUGGAGAAAUGUUCUCAUUGCAUGGCUCGUAAGCAGACUAGAGUAUCCUUCAAGAAACAUCCUCCCUCAAGGAAGUCAGAGUUGCUUGAAUUGGUGCAUUCUGAUGUUUGUGUCCCGUUGAAGGUAAAGUCAUUUAGUGAUGCACUUUACUUUGUUACUUUUAUUGAUGAUUGUUCCAGGAAGCUUUGGGUCUAUGCUUUGAAGACAAAAGACCAAGUUCUGGAGAAAUUCAAAGAGUUCCAUGUUAUGGUGGAGAGACAGUCAGGCAAGAAGUUCAAAUGCAUUCGUACUGACAAUUGUGGUGAGUAUUGUGGACCAUUUGAUGUUUAUUGCAAGCAGCACGGUAUCAAACAUGAAAAGACUCACAUGAAAAGACUCCUCCUAAAACUCCUCAGCUGAAUGGUUUAGCAGAGAGAAUGAACAAGACAUUGAUUGAAAGAGUUAGGUGUAUGCUUUCUGAAGCAAAGUUGCCUAAGCAUUUCUGGGGUGAAGCAUUGUACACGGCAGUGCAUGUUAUUAAUCUGAGUCAUGCAGUUGCUUUGAAUGUUGAGGUGCCAGACAAGAUUUGGUUUGGCAAGAAUGUCAGGUAUGAUCAUUUGCGUGUCUUCGGUUGCAAAGCAUAUGUGCAUGUUCCAAAGGAUGAGAGAUCCAAGUUGGAUGCGAAGACAAGACAAUGCAUCUUUAUCGGUUAUGGUCAGGAUGAAUUUGGCUACAAGUUGUAUGAUCCAGUUGAGAAGAAAGCUGUUAGAAGCCGUGAUGUGAAGUUCAUGGAAGACCAAACGAUUGAAGACAUUGAUAGGAUGGAGAAGACUACACCUGAGAUUGAUAAUGGUUUGUCUGAUGUUGAUCCAGUUCGGAUGCCUAUACAUGAUCUGGAUACUGCUGAAAAUAAUGUUCAGAAUGAUGAGCAACAUGGUGAUGUUGGUGAUCAGCAGCUUGGAGAUGAUUUUGAUGUUCCUAAUGAUGAUGCUGAAGAAGAACAUGAGAUGUCACAAGAUGAGGAUCUUGGUGAUGCUCCUGAACCACCUCAAGCUCAAGUUUGGAGGUCUACUAGGCAGAGGAAACCAUCCACCAGGUAUCCUUCUGAUGACUAUGUUACCUUGACUGAUGGAGGCGAACCUGAAUGUUAUGAUGAAGCCAUGGAGAGUGAUGAAAAGAAGAAGUGGUUGGAUGCUAUGCAAGAUGAAAUGAAGUCUUUGCAUGAUAAUCACACUUUUGAUUUGGUGAAACUACCUAAGGGAAAGAAGGCUUUGGAAAACAGGUGGAUCUUCAGAGUGAAGCAAGAAAGCAAUUCUACAUCUCCAAGAUAUAAAGCCAGAUUAGUUGUGAAAGGUUUCAGACAGAGAAAGGGUGUUGAUUUCAAUGAGAUUUUUUCUCCUGUGGUGAAGAUGUCAUCCAUUAGAACUGUGUUGAGUUUGGCUGCUACUCUUGAUUUGGAGGUAGAGCAAAUGGAUGUAAAAACUGCUUUCCUUCAUGGUGAUUUGGAGGAAGAGAUUUACAUGAAGCAACCUGAUGGUUUUCUUGUUAAAGGCAAAGAAGACUAUGUGUGUAGGCUCAGAAAGAGUCUAUAUGGUUUGAAGCAGGCCCCGCGUCAGUGGUACAAGAAGUUUGAGUCAGUUAUGUGUGAGCAAGGCUACAGGAAGACUACUUCUGAUCACUGUGUCUUUGUUAAAAAGUUUGCUGAUGAUGAUUUCAUUAUCUUGUUAUUGUAUGUUGAUGACAUGCUUAUUGUUGGGAAAAAUAUUUCCAUGAUUAUCAGGUUGAAGAAGCAAUUGGGCGAGUCAUUUUCCAUGAAAGACAUGGGAGCUGCUAAGAAGAUUCUUGGUAUAAGAAUCAUGUGUGACAGGAACAAGAAGAAACUUUGGCUGUCACAAGAACACUAUGUUGAAAGAGUAUUACAGAGGUUCCAGAUGGAAAAUGCUAAGGCUGUAAGUACUCCUCUUGCUACUCAUUUUAAAUUGAGUACUAGUCAGAGUCCUCCCAAUGAAGCUGAAAAAUCAGAUAUACAACGAGUUCUUUACGUAUCUGUUGUGGGUAGUUUAAUGUAUGCAAUGGUGUGUACAAGGCCUGAUAUUGCACAUGUUGUUGGUACAGUUAGUAGAUUUCUGUCUAAUCCAGGUAGAGAGCAUUGGAAUGCUGUGAAAUGGAUUUUGAGGUAUCUUCGUGGUACUACCAGUUUGAGGCUUUGUUUUGGAGGUGAUAAGCCUACUCUUGUGGGAUAUACUGAUUCUGAUAUGGCUGGAGACAUUGAUUCCAGAAAGUCUACUUCAGGCUACUUGAUUAAGUUUGCAGGGGGAGCUGUGGCAUGGCAAUCUAGAUUGUAGAGAUGUGUUGCAUUGUCCACUACUGAGGCAGAGUUCAUUGCCAUUACAGAAGCAUGCAAGGACUUGUUAUGGUUGAAGAAAUUCUUGCAGGAGCUUGGUUUUGUUCAAGAUAAGUACUUGCUAUUUUGUGAUAGUCAAGGUGCAAUUCAUCUUGGUAAGAAUUCAUGUUGGUACUUGCCAUUUUGUGAUAGUCAAGGUGCAAUUCAUCUUGGUAAGAAUUCAUGUUGGUACUUGCUAUUUUGUGAUAGUCAAGGUGCAAAACAAAGCCUCAAACUGGUAGUACCACGAAGAUACCUCAAAAUCCAUUUCACAGCAUUCCAGUGCUCUCUACCUGGAUUAGACAGAAAUCUACUAAUUGUACCAACAACAUGUGCAAUAUCAGGCCUUGUACACACCAUUGCAUACAUUAAACUACCCACAGCAGAUGCAUAAGGAACUCGUUGCAUAUCUGAUUUUUCAGCUUCAUUGGUAGGACUCUGACUAGUACUCAAUUUAAAAUGAGUAGCAAGAGGAGUACUUACAGCCUUAGCAUUUUCCAUCUGGAACCUCUGUAACACUCAAUCAACAUAGUGUUCUUGUGACAGCCAAAGUUUCUUCUUGUUCCUGUCACGCAUGAUUCUUAUACCAAGAAUCUUCUUAGCAGCUCCUAAUUGCUUCUUCAACCUGUCAAUCAAGGAAAUAUUUCUCCCAACAAUAAGCAUGUCAUCAACAUACAAUAACAGGAUAAUGAAAUCCUCAUCAGCAAACUUUUUAACAAAGACACAGUGAUCAAAAGUAGUCUUCUUGUAGCCUUGCUCACACAAAAUUGACUCAAACUUCUUGUACCACUGACGCGGGGCCUGCUUCAAACCAUAUAGACUCUUUCUGAGCCUACACACAUAGUCUUCCUUGCCUUUAACAAGAAAACCAUCAGGUUGCUUCAUGUAAAUCUCUUCCUCCAAAUCACCAUGAAGGAAAGCAGUUUUUACAUCCAUUUGCUCUACCUCCAAAUCAAGAGUAGCAGCCAAACUCAACACAGUUCUAAUGGAUGACAUCUUCACCACAGGAGAAAAAAUCUCAUUGAAAUCAACACCCUUUCUCUGUCUGAAACCUCUCACAACUAAUCUGGCUUUAUAUCUUGGAGAUGUAGAAUUGCUUUCUUGCUUCACUCUGAAGAUCCACCUGUUUUCCAAAGCCUUCUUUCCCUUAGGUAGUUUCACCAAAUCAAAAGUGUGAUUAUCAUGCAAAGACUUCAUUUCAUCUUGCAUAGCAUCCAACCACUUCUUCUUUUCAUCACUCUCCAUGGCUUCAUCAUAACAUUCAGGUUCGCCUCCAUCAGUCAAGGUAACAUAGUCAUAAGAAGGAUACCUGGUGGAUGAUUUCCUCUGCCUAGUAGAGCUCCAAACUUGAGCUUGAGGUGGUUCAGGAGCAUCACCAAGAUCCUCAUCUUGUGACAUCUCAUGUUCUUCUUCAGCAUCAUCAUUAGGAACAUCAAAAUCAUCUCCAAGCUCCUGAUCACCAACAUCACCAUGUUGCUCAUCAUUCUGAACAUUAUUUUCAGCAGUAUCCAGAUCAUGUAUAGGCAUCCGAACUGGAUCAACAUCAGACAAACCAUUAUCAAUCUCAGGUGUAGUCUUCUCCAUCUUAUCAAUGUCUUCAAUGGUUUGGUCUUCCAUGAACUUCACAUCACGGCUUCUAACAGCUUUCUUCUCAACUGGAUCAAACAGCUUGUAGCCAAAUUCAUCCUGACCAUAACCGAUAAAGAUGCACUGUCUUGUCUUCGCAUCCAACUUGGAUCUCUCAUCCUUUGGAACAUGCACAUAUGCUUUGCAACCGAAGACACGCAAAUGAUCAUACCUGACAUUCUUGCCAAACCAAAUCUUGUCUGGCACCUCAGCAUUCAAAGCAACUGCAGGACUCAGAUUAAUAACAUGCACUGCCGUGUACAAUGCUUCACCCCAGAAAUGCUUAGGCAACUUUGCUUCAGAAAGCAUACACCUAACUCUUUCAAUCAAUGUCUUGUUCAUUCUCUCUGCUAAACCAUUCAGCUGAGGAGUUUUAGGAGGAGUCUUUUCAUGUCUGAUACCGUGCUGCUUGCAAUAAGAAUCAAAUGGUCCACAAUAUUCACCACCAUUGUCAGUACGAAUGCAUUUGAACUUCUUUCCUGACUGUCUCUCCACCAUAACAUGGAACUCUUUGAAUUUCUCCAGAACUUGGUCUUUUGUCUUCAAAGCAUAGACCCAAAGCUUCCUGGAACAAUCAUCAAUAAAAGUAACAAAGUAAAGUGCACCACUAAAUGACUUUACCUUCAACGGGACACAAACAUCAGAAUGCACCAAUUCAAGCAACUCUGACUUCCUUGAGGGAGCAUGUUUCUUGAAGGAUACUCUAGUCUGCUUACCAGCCAUGCAAUGAGAAUAUUUCUCCAACUCUGAACUCUUUAAUCCCGGAAGUAAAUCCUUUUUAGCUAAAAAAUUCAGCCCCUUUUCACUGAUAUGACUAAGCCUGCGGUGCCACAAAGAAGACUCCAUAUCCAUGGCAUUCACACUGUCUUUAGCAACCAAUGCUUUAGUCCAAUAUAGUUUAUUAAUUUUCUCCCCUCUGGCCACAACUAAGUUACCUCUGGUGAGUUUCUAUUUUCCUGAACCAAAGUGAUUAUCAUAACCACCAUCAUCAAGCAUCUGCACAGAGAUCAAAUUAAAGCGAACAUUUGGAGCAUGUUUGACUCCUCUAAGCAACAACUGCACUCCCAUGUUGGUCUGCAAACAAACAUCACCAAUACCAACUACCUUGGACACACCAUCAUUACCCAUCUUCAACACUCCAAAGUCACCAGAAGUGUAAGAUGUGAAGAACUCCUUCCUUGGUGUAACAUGCAGUGUAGCACCACUAUCAAUAAUCCACAUGCUCUCAUCUGAUACAAGAUUGACUGAGUCAUAGUCACGGAGAAUAAUCAGAUCAUCACAAGUAGCAGUAGUAACACGGUCAUCAUCAUCAUGAUUCUUAUCUCUCUACUUACUGUUAUUGUUUUUGCUCUCCCUUUUCCAUAUGAAGCACGGUCAUCAUCAUCAGAUCAUCACAAGUAGCAGUAGUAACACGGUCAUCAUCAUCAUCAUGAUUCUUAUCUCCCUGUUUGUUCCCUUUCGGCUCCUUUCUUUGACUUCGGCCCCUGUUCUCAGUGACAAGUACCUCGGAAUGAGAUGAAGUACCUUGUGCCUUCCUUCUCAUCUCCUCAUUAAGAACACUUCCUUUUACACUUUGCAAAGAGACAACACCAUCAGAAGCUGAGUUUGUAAUUGAAACCCGAAAAGUUUCCCAAGAAUCUGGUAGAGUAUUCAGUAGCCAUAGUCCCAACACUUCAUCAUCAAAUUUGAUACCCAUACCUGACAAUUGAUCUAGGAGCCCUUGAAAAUCAUUUAAGUGAUCUGAAAUAGAAGUCCCCUCCUUGUACCUCAAAUUCAUCAAGGAGUUCAACAAACACAACUUAUUAUUAUCUGAUUCAGAAGCAUACUAAGAUUCAAUCUUCUUCCACAAGGAUCUUGCAUGUUCCUUAUUAGCAAUGUGAUUAUAAACAUUAUCUUCUACAUAUUGCCGAAUAAAACCACAAACCUGCUGAUGUUCAAAACUCCAAUCCUCAUAAGUCUUGGAUUCUGGCUUCUCACUAGCAAACACAGGAAGAUGCAAAUUCUUCACAAAUAACAGAUCCUUCAUUUUUCCCUUCCAUAAGUGAUAAUUAGUGCCAUUCAAACAAAUCAUUCUAUUUGUAUUUGCCUCCAUCAUUCAAACAAGUCAAACAUCCCCUUAACCAAAGAGCUCUGAUGCCACUCUGAUGGGAAAUUCAGCAACAAAUAACAAUAACAUCUAACAGAGCAAUAUGCAGCGGAUAAUCAAUUUCCCACACUUGCAAGAAUCUGUGAGGAGCAACAACAAAUAAUCACAGCAACUAAAAUCACUACCACAAAUGACACAAUAAUUUCAGUGUGAGAAGUAAACAACCACGGGACCAAGCCAGUAAUAGAGCUCCACUAUGAUCAAAAUAUGGGUACAAGAGAGUUUCAAAUAUGCACAAAUUCGUGCUCAGUAACCAGACAAAAAUCAGCAAGGUAACCAGCACAACAAUCGGCCAAAACAUUGAGAAAACAAGCAUGAAAUUGAGAACAAAGUUCAACAGAAAAACUAGGAAAAACAGCUACUGUCCGAGCUCAAUAUCUCCCACCUCAGACCUCUGAUCGACGAUCCAACCGGUCAGAUUGAAGUACCAUGAGGCACGAAGCUGCGGUCCAAAUUUCAGCCCGAUCCGACGGUGAAAGAAAGAGAAAUCGCGAAUCUAGUGCAGCUGCUCUGUUUUAUGCGAAAAUGGGUUUUGCUCUUCCUCUCUCACUUUUCUCUUUGCCUCACUCUCUAAAUUCAGCUCUCUCUCCCACUAAUCUGACCUCUCUCCACUUGGUUAAGUGAGACACAUGGGGUUGCACAUAUUGGGCCUUUCUCCACAUAGGAAGGGAGCCCAAAACCCAACAAUACACUGAUCCAUUAAGUUGGACAAACUUAUUUUAAGUUCAAGAAGUUUACUAUCGAAAAGUUGUUAGAAGCUUUUCCUCAAGAUUUUAAGGAUAAAGAUCUUCUCAAAUUUAAGGAUAAGCUCGAGUUCAAAAUACUUUUGAGCGUGUUGAUGCAGUUUUACUUAUUCAUAUAUUUGUAAAAAUCUCUCAAAGUAUUUCCAUUGUGAAAAUCUUUCAAAACAUAAACUUUUAUAAAAAUCUCUCAAAGUAUUUUAAGUUCAAAGUAUUUGUAAAAAUCUUUCAAAACAUAAACUUUUAUUGUUUCUAGCAACCUUUAAAUACAAUAAAUUAAUAAUUUGAAAUUAAUAAAAAUAAAACUAUCCAUAUAUAAAUUUAUAACAACCCAUUAUUAAUUAGUAAUUUGUAACAAUCCAAAACCUCACAUAAUUACUAUAAUUAAAAAUCAUAACGAUAUAAUGAUCAAUAAUAUUAAUAGAUUUACCUGGAUCUCUUGAGAUGGUAACAAGCUGGCUCACUUAGCAGCAACUUUAGCUGAAUCUGUGGACAGUCUCCCCUCCAGAUGUGAUUCAAUUAAUAGAGCUGCUAAGGACAACAGCACGAGCAAUAAAUAGAUCUCAGAUCAGAAGGAUCUGCACCUGCUGUUGGUUUAUUCUCCACCUUGUCUGGUGCAUCUCAAAUCCCUCACUGGUUCUGGUUUCGGUGCCACCGUUGCUGGCCUUACGUAAAUAUUUUGUUUUGCUUUCCAGAGGUUGUUAUCUCGUUUGGUGUUUUGAGUGGUUGGUAUUGCAAAACUUUUCAUGAGUUUAAAGAAUCUCUUUGUCUCUACUUUACUGUCACCGUUUGAGCUGUUGAUGGGAUUACUUUAUGCAUGUGGAGCUUAUCAAAUUCAAUGCUUCCAUGUGUUUACAUUGUCUUUAUGAGUUUUAGUAUAUUAUUAUUAUGUUCGUGGUCCAACAUGACUACACGGUUUUUUUUACCCUUUAUGGGUGUUAGAUGUAGCACUU